rnacentral:lncRNA from 1 species
UGACCAGCAACCCUACGCUGCAGGUCCCAGACUGCAGAGCAGGAGCUGCAAUGGAGUCCAAGUGGGACGCACUGAGUGCACUGGGGGCCAUCACGGCCGCCUGGCUGCUGCUGACGGGGACCUGGGGAGUGGCCCGCGCUGUGUACGUGUACCUGCUGCCCCAGGUCCGGAGGGGCAAUGCUUGGCUCCGGGCACAGGGAGCCUGGGCAGUGGUGACAGGAGCCACCAGCGGCAUUGGCAAGGCCUACGCACACGAGGUGAGUCGGGUGGUGGCUUCCGUGCUGAUUUCCCUGUCACCAGCCCCCUGGGGAGAGCUAAGUGCCCCCUCACCCUCUCAUCCCUCUCAUUAUUGCCCCGAUUCAUUCCUUCAAAUCCUGUUUAUUGACCACCUACUCUGUGCCAGGCAUCUUCCUGGGCCUGGGGAUGCAGCAGUGAGCACAAGAGAGUUUUUGCAAGAGUGAAAGUCCUGCCCUCGUGGAGCUUAUCCUCCAGCCAGGGCAGAGGGACAUAAGCAAGGUCCGGCACAUGGAGUGAGAGGUGGUGGUCAGGGUGAAGGAGACACUCAGGAAAGAGGACGGAUCCCAUCAUUCUCAGGCUUGUGAAGCAGGCCUGAGUCCUCUUUUGUGAGUGGCGUUAGCUGUGCUGUCCUGGCUGCCUCCGUGUGCUGAAGCAGCUCAGAAGGGUGAGCAUUUGGUGAUGGUGACUGGGGGGAAGCCAGGAGUUCCACGGUGGCAGAUCCAGUGAAU